GGUGAAAAGCACCCCGGAAGGGGAGUGAAAUAGAACCUGAAACCGUGUGCUUACAAGUAGUCAGAGCCCGUUAAUGGGUGAUGGCGUGCCUUUUGUAGAAUGAACCGGCGAGUUACGAUUUGAUGCAAGGUUAAGCAGUAAAUGUGGAGCCGUAGCGAAAGCGAGUCUGAAUAGGGCGUUUAGUAUUUGGUCGUAGACCCGAAACCAGGUGAUCUACCCUUGGUCAGGUUGAAGUUCAGGUAACACUGAAUGGAGGACCGAACCGACUUACGUUGAAAAGUGAGCGGAUGAACUGAGGGUAGCGGAGAAAUUCCAAUCGAACCUGGAGAUAGCUGGUUCUCUCCGAAAUAGCUUUAGGGCUAGCCUCAAGUGAUGAUUAUUGGAGGUAGAGCACUGUUUGGACGAGGGGCCCCUCUCGGGUUACCGAAUUCAGACAAACUCCGAAUGCCAAUUAAUUUAACUUGGGAGUCAGAACAUGGGUGAUAAGGUCCGUGUUCGAAAGGGAAACAGCC
rnacentral:rRNA from 1 species